CCUACGGGGGGCAGCAGUGGGGAAUAUUGGGCAAUGGGCGCAAGCCUGACCCAGCAACGCCGCGUGAAGGAAGAAGGCUUUCGGGUUGUAAACUUCUUUUAAGAGGGAAGAGUAGAAGACGGUACCUCUUGAAUAAGCCACGGCUAACUACGUGCCAGCAGCCGCGGUAAUACGUAGGUGGCAAGCGUUGUCCGGAUUUACUGGGUGUAAAGGGCGUGUAGCCGGGCCGGCAAGUCAGAUGUGAAAUCCCAAGGCUCAACCUUGGAACUGCAUUUGAAACUGUUGGUCUUGAGUAUCGGAGAGGC
rnacentral:rRNA from 1 species